rnacentral:rRNA from 1 species
UACGAAGGGGGCUAGCGUUGCUCGGAAUCACUGGGCGUAAAGGGUGCGUAGGCGGGUCUUUAAGUCAGGGGUGAAAUCCUGGAGCUCAACUCCAGAACUGCCUUUGAUACUGAAGAUCUCGAGUCCGGGAGAGGUGAGUGGAACUCCGAGUGUAGAGGUGAAAUUCGUAGAUAUUCGGAAGAACACCAGUGGCGAAGGCGGCUCACUGGCCCGGUACUGACGCUGAGGUGCGAAAGCGUGGGGAGCAAACAGG